rnacentral:rRNA from 1 species
AUUGAACGCUGGCGGCAGGCCUAACACAUGCAAGUCGAACGAAGUCUUCGGACUUAGUGGCGGACGGGUGAGUAACACGUGGGAACGUGCCUUUAGGUUCGGAAUAACUCAGGGAGACUUGUGCUAAUACCGAAUGUGCCCUUCGGGGGAAAGAUUUAUCGCCUUUAGAGCGGCCCGCGUCUGAUUAGCUAGUUGGUGAGGUUAAGGCUCACCAAGGCUACGAUCAGUAGCUGGUCUGAGAGGAUGACCAGCCACACUGGAACUGAGACACGGCCCAAACUCCUACGGGAGGCAGCAGUGGGGAAUCUUGCGCAAUGGGCGAAAGCCUGACGCAGCCAUGCCGCGUGGAUGAUGAAGGUCUUAGGAUUGUAAAAUCCUUUCACCGGUGAAGAUAAUGACUGUAGCCGGAGAAGAAGCCCCGGCUAACUUCGUGCCAGCCGCCGCAGUAAUAC